GUCUACGGCCAUGCUACCCUGAAAAAGCCCAAUCCAGUCUGAUCUUGGAAGCUAAGUAGGGUCAGGCCUGGUUAGUACUUGGAUGGGAGACCACCUCGGAAGACCAGGUGCUGUAGGCA
rnacentral:rRNA from 1 species